rnacentral:misc_RNA from 1 species
CCGAGUUAGGGUUCUCUGAAAACGAAGCCCGACCUCCCAACCCUGUGUUUAUACCGACCACUGUUGCUUCGGCGGACCGCCUCUCCUCCCUGUUUACCAGGAGGGUUGUGGGCGCCGGGGGCGAGAGAUCGCCCCUGGAGCGCGUCCGUCGGACGGCCAUCAAACAAACUCUUUUUAGAAACCACCUUCUGAAAACCUUUUAGUUAUUGAAUUAACAAAAACA